rnacentral:RNase_P_RNA from 1 species
CGAGCCGGCCGGGUGACCGCGGGCCGCAAGGCCUGAGGAAAGUCCGGACUCCGCAGAGCACGGUGGUGGGCAACACCCACCUGGGGCGACCCACGGGACAGUGCCACAGAGAGCAGACCGCCCUCCCUCGCGGGGGGUAAGGGUGAAAGGGUGGUGUAAGAGACCACCAGCGGCCUGGGUGACCAGGCCGGCUAGGCAAACCCCACCGGGAGCAAGGCCAAGAAGGCCCUUCGGGGCUGCGUCGGCGCUCGAGGGCUGCUCGCCCGAGCCGACGGGUAGGCCGCAGGCCGCAAGGCCAAGGCGCCUGGCAACAGGCGUCGCAGAUGGAUGGUCACCGCCCGCAAGGGCACAGAAUCCGGCUUACAGGCCGGCUCGUCCC